rnacentral:rRNA from 1 species
UACGUAGGGUGCGAGCGUUGUCCGGAAUUAUUGGGCGUAAAGAGCUUGUAGGUGGUUUGUCGCGUCUGCUGUGAAAAUCCGAGGCUCAACCUCGGACUUGCAGUGGGUACGGGCAGACUAGAGUGUGGUAGGGGAGACUGGAAUUCCUGGUGUAGCGGUGGAAUGCGCAGAUAUCAGGAGGAACACCGAUGGCGAAGGCGGGUCUCUGGAC